UACGGAGGGUGCAAGCGUUAAUCGGAAUUACUGGGCGUAAAGCGCACGUAGGUGGUUUUGUAAGUCGGAUGUGAAAGCCCUGGGCUUAACCUGGGAAUUGCAUUCGAUACUGCUUGACUAGAGUAUGGUAGAGGGAAGUGGAAUUUCCGGUGUAGCGGUGAAAUGCGUAGAUAUCGGAAGGAACACCAGUGGCGAAGGUGACUUCCGGGGCCAAUACUGACAAUGAGGUGUGAAAGCGUGGGUAGCAAACAGG
rnacentral:rRNA from 1 species